GAACGUUGUUCGGAAUCAUUGGGCUUAAAGCGCGUGUAGGCGGCGGCGUAAGUACUUUGUGAAAUCCCUUCUCUCAAUGGAGGAAUUGCUUGGUAUACUGCGUUGCUUGAGGUAGGUAGGGGUGCUUGGAACUCUAGGUGGAGCGGUGAAAUGCGUAGAUAUCUAGAGGAACGCCAGUGGCGAAAGCGGAGCACUGGGCCUAUCCUGACGCUGAGACGCGAAAGCGUGGGUAGCAAACGGG
rnacentral:rRNA from 1 species